UACGAAGGGUGCGAGCGUUAAUCGGAAUUACUGGGCGUAAAGGGCACGUAGGCGGUUUGAUAAGCGGAAUGUGAAAGCCCCGGGCUUAACCUGGGAACUGCAUUCCGAACUGUCAGGCUAGAGUAUGAUAGAGGUGAGCGGAAUUUCCUGUGUAGCGGUGAAAUGCGUAGAUAUAGGAAGGAACAUCAGUUGCGAAGGCGGCUCACUGGAUCAAUACUGACGCUGAGGUGCGAAAGCGGGGGUAGCGAACAGG
rnacentral:rRNA from 1 species